rnacentral:misc_RNA from 1 species
ACAUCUCAACUCCUCACGGUUCGCCCGUGACGAGCUUGGACUUUGGGGGUCUUGCCGGCCUGCGGGUCGGCUCCUCUCAAAUGAAUCAGCUUGCCGGUGUUUGGUGGCGUCACAGGUGUGAUAAAUAUCUACGCUUGUGGUUUUCCGCCAGGUAACCUCCAGCGAUGGGGGUUCACUGGAGCUCACGAAUGUCUCUCCUCGGUGAGGACAGCUCUUUGAAC